AUAUUGAUGAAGAUCAGUUUGUGGCUUGGAUGCAGACCCUUCCACAACAUAUGUUAACAUCAGUGAUGCAUUUUCCAAUAAUACCAUCAAACAUCACUCUUCUUAAGGAAUUACAGCCAUCUUUUCCUACUGCAGCUGUGGAUUUCAAGGACCAAUCAGGGUUGGAUGACAAGCAGCUCCUGAGGGUUGCAGUGGAGAUGUCCCUUAAACGCAGAGACUGGAAGCUCUUAGCAAACAACUUGGGCCUUGUGGAGAAGGACUGCUCCUGUCUGGAGCGGAAGCGUUUGGAUGUGAAGACCCAGAUCCUGGCAAUGUUGCAGAUUUGGCUAAGGACCUGUCAGGAAGCCCCCCUUCCUCUCCUGCAAACUGCGCUGAGACUCAGCGGCAACACAGACAUUUGCAAUGAAGUGUUCUCCUUAAACUUCUGAGGCUCUCGUGUGGGCAGCGUGCAAAUUAGAGACAAAUGCACACGUUGCACUUCAAAGAGCCAUCCUCCUUGGGAGAGCAAACAUUGGUGUUCAUUAAUUGUAAUGGGAAAGUGCAUCUAAGGGUAUGUCUUCACUACCGGCCGUAUUGGCGGGUAGCAAUCGAUUUAUCCGGGAUCGAUAUAUCGCGUCUCGUUAAGAUGCGAUAUAUCGAUCCCCGAAUGCGCUCACCGUCGACUCCGGAACUCCACCAGAGCGAGCGGCGGUAGCGCAGUCGACGGGGGAGCCGCGGCCGUUGAUCCCGCGCCGUCUGGACCCCAGGUAAUUCGAUCCAAGAUACUUCGACUUUAGCUAUACUAUUCGUGUAGCUGAAGUUGCGUAUCUUGGAUCGAUCCCCCGCCCCAGUGUAGACCAGCCCUAAAUCUCUUAGCAACAGCUCUGAAAACUGAGCUGUAAUUUUGCUAUCUAGUGGACCGAGGCAGUGCCAGGCAUACUCGCCCAUUCAGAUACUGAGAGCCAGGUCAUAGCAUCUGUCCGUCAUAUCAGUAGCUGGAAAUCCUAAAUUGUUUUGAUUUUCUUUGCAGUAGUUUUACUUUUCAACCUGUUGGAUUGGGGGAAAGAAGCAUGUUCCCUCAAAGAUCUUAUAUCUUGGAUCCUUCGCUAUCUUUAUGGCUUGUUUUGUGAAAGGCCCAUUGCUGUGGGUAUCUGGGCAGUUAGCAUUUCUUUGGCAUUCGUGUCAGAAAGAAUCGAGCGCCGUCUGUUACCCCUCUGCUGCGAAGGACUAGAUUACAGAUCCCCUCAGUGGGUGAAGUGGCACCUUCCACUCCUGUUACAAACUUCUGUUACUUCUGUUGUAUUUGCCCAGCUCUGCUCCUAAUUAACUAAUCGAUCCUUUUCCUGCCCUUCCACGUUAGCUCCACUGGAGGAGAGAGGGUGAAAUUCGCCCUGUGCAGUGGACCAGCACAAAGCUAACAUAGGAUUUAAGUGGUGCAUAAGCUUGAGG
rnacentral:lncRNA from 1 species